AGAGUUUGAUCAUGGCUCGAGGACGAACGCUGGCGGCGUGCUUAACACAUGCAAGUCGAACGGUAAGGCCCUUCGGGGUACACGAGUGGCGAACGGGUGAGUAACACGUGGGUGAUCUGCCCUGCACUUCGGGAUAAGCCUGGGAAACUGGGUCUAAUACCGGAUAGGACUCCUGGCUUCAUGGUUGGGGGUGUAAAGCUUUUGCGGUGUGGGAUGGGCCCGCGGCCUAUCAGCUUGUUGGUGGGGUAAUGGCCUACCAAGGCGACGACGGGUAGCCGGCCUGAGAGGGUGACCGGCCACACUGGGACUGAGAUACGGCCCAGACUCCUACGGGAGGCAGCAGUGGGGAAUAUUGCACAAUGGGCGCAAGCCUGAUGCAGCGACGCCGCGUGAGGGAUGACGGCCUUCGGGUUGUAAACCUCUUUCAAUAGGGACGAAGCGCAAGUGACGGUACCUAUAGAAGAAGGACCGGCCAACUACGUG
rnacentral:rRNA from 1 species